CCAGACUCCUACGGGAGGCAGCAGUGGGGAAUCUUGCGCAAUGGGCGGAAGCCUGACGCAGCGACGCCGCGUGAGCGAUGAAGUAUUUCGGUAUGUAAAGCUCUAUCAGCAGGGAAGAAAAUGACGGUACCUGACUAAGAAGCCCCGGCUAACUACGUGCCAGCAGUCGCGGUAAUACGUAGGGGGCAAGCGUUAUCCGGAUUUACUGGGUGUAAAGGGAGCGUAGACGGCGGUGCAAGCCAGAUGUGAAAGCCCGGGGCUCAACCCCGGGACUGCAUUUGGAACUGUGCUGCUAGAGUGUCGGAGAGGCAGGCGGAAUUCCUAGUGUAGCGGUGAAAUGCGUAGAUAUUAGGAGGAACACCAGUGGCGAAGGCGGCCUGCUGGACGAUGACUGACGUUGAGGCUCGAAAGCGUGGGGAGCAAACAGGAUUAGAUACCCUCGUAC
rnacentral:rRNA from 1 species